GGGAUGAUGCCCGAGUGGUUAAUGGGAUGGAUUGUAAAUCCAUUGACUUUUGUCUACAUAGGUUCAAAUCCUAUUCAUCCCA
rnacentral:tRNA from 1 species